rnacentral:rRNA from 1 species
AACGAACGCUGGCGGCAUGCCUAACACAUGCCAGUCGAACGAGACCUUCGGGUCUAGUGGCGCACGGGUGCGUAACGCGUGGGAACCUGCCCUUAGGUUCGGAAUAACUCCCCGAAAGGGGUGCUAAUACCGGAUAAUGUCUUCGGACCAAAGAUUUAUCGCCUUUGGAUGGGCCCGCGUUGGAUUAGCCAGUUGGUAGGGUAAAAGCCUACCAAGGCGACGAUCCAUAGCUGGUCUGAGAGGAUGAUCAGCCACACUGGGACUGAGACACGGCCCAGACUCCUACGGGAGGCAGCAGUGGGGAAUAUUGGACAAUGGGCGAAAGCCUGAUCCAGCAAUGCCGCGUGAGUGAUGAAGGCCUUAGGGUUGUAAAGCUCUUUUACCCGGGAUGAUAAUGACAGUACCGGGAGAAUAAGCUCCGGCUAACUCCGUG